GUGAAUCAUCGAAUUUUUGAACGCAAAUUGCACUCUCCUCGGAGAGUAUGCCUGUUUGAGGGUCAGCCUAUAAAAAAUCGACAUCGUUGCUGUUUCGCGGUGGCGUUCGUCGGAAAUUGGGUCAUCUUAAAUCUUUGUUUUAAGCGACUUAAAAAAUUCUCUACUAUUUCAUUAACCGUUUCAA
rnacentral:misc_RNA from 1 species